CACACCAGCCACAGCUGCCAUGGAUUUCCAAGAGAUGAUUCAAACAUGUCACUCCAUUAAGACUGGCUACUCGAGGCCAUUCUCCAAGGACUCUCCAACACCAUCUUGAGUAGGGACGGUUGUCAAGUGUUGUUUCUGUCCGGGGGGUCCCUGUACAGCCACUCUCUACCCUAUCAUGGCGAUGAUGUUGAACGAGACUCUGCAGGUUGUGACAAUAUGACCGUAGACCUGCCUGUUGCUAUGACUACAGCAGCUGAGCAUGGUUGUCCAUUGCAGACUAGCUAGAGGAAACUGUGCUCCUCCGAUCAUCCCACCAGACAGCUCCCAAGACGAGCGUGGGGGUCAGAGGUCAUCUGGAGCACCCUCCUUUAUUAUACAUGAGCUCUACACUGGCUACUGGUGGCAACCUACGUAAAAUGAAAGAAGCUGAGUAAAAUCAAAUUGUAAUUUCAACAUCUUAAUUUUUGCUAAAAUAUUUUAAUCUGUUCUGAUUGUCCAAUUGCAAAACUAACUGUAGCUCUUAGCUGUGGAGUAGGAACAGGGACGGCCAGGGUGGCCCCUCCCCCCAAUCUUGACUAUAGUUGUACAUUUGUUCAUUUAGUAUCUGCAAUGCUAGGUCCUACUAUAGGGUAUGAUGUCAGUGUCAGAUUGCAAACAGAUAAUUUAGUAUCUGCAAUGCUAGGUCCUACUAUAGGGUAUGAUGUCAGUGUCAGAUUGCAAACAGAUAAUUUAGUAUCUGCAAUGCUAGGUCCUACUAUAGGGUAUGAUAUCAGUGUCAGAUUGCAAACAGAUAAUGUAACCAUAAACUGUUAUACGACAUUUUUUGUAAGUUGCCACUAUCAUGGCAAAAUUAUAUUUCUACAAAGCAUCGUUUAUGAAUAAAAGCAAGCAAAAUCGAACCUGUACGUAGGAAGACAUGUGUCUUUGAUUCUAGUCAUCAAGCUACCCUUAGUGUCUAGUCAUGCUCAUGCUCACUCUAUUACCAUGGAGCCCAUCCAUGUGCUCAUGGGAACAUUAUGAAACACCGUCUCUGAACCCAGCCACACAAAUGCCGAGGAUUCUGUACUUUGGUUCAGUAAUUAACCUCUUAAUAACAUUUUCCCACAUGUUACAAGGUUUCUAAGUGAUGUUGUUGUUCAUUUGGUAUCUGACAAUCAAUUAAUUAUCUUUUACCUCAAUGUAUUUUUAUUUUUUGUAGACGAGCCUGGUGGUCAGAGGUCAGCUGGAGCUCCCACCCCCUCACACAUGUGCUCCGUGUCGCUCAGAGAGACUGGCCAAGUACAAUCAGCUACUGAGGAUCGAGGAGGAAUUAGGGAAGGGUGCAAAUUUUGUUGGAGAGAAAUUCCGCAACCCUCUAUCAUAAACUAAAGAUGAACAAUUAAUGAAACGUUGUCAGUAGUAUUGUGAACUAGCUUAAAAUUCUUAGUUUGUAGUUUUGUGUGUAAUUUGUGAGGUCUGACCUCGAGAUUGUUAUGAAUU